UACAGAGGUGGCAAGCGUUGUCCGGGUUUAUUGGGCGUAAAGCGCACGUAGGCGGACUUUCAAGUCAGGGGUGAAAUCCCGGGGCUCAACCUCGGAAUUGCCUUUGAUACUGUAGGUCUCGAGUCCGGAAGAGGUGGGUGGAAUUCCCGGUGUAGGGGUGAAAUCCGUAGAUAUCGGGAGGAAUACCAGCGGCGAAGGCGGCCUUCUGGACGGUGACUGACGCUGAGACGCGAAAGCGUGGGGAGCAAACAGG
rnacentral:rRNA from 1 species